AUUGAACGCUGGCGGCAGGCCUAACACAUGCAAGUCGAGCGGCGCUUCGGACGGGUGAGUAAUGCCUAGUCAUCUGCCUGGUAGUGGGGUAUACCGUCCGGAAACGGGCCCUAAUACCGCAUACUAUCAGAUGACCCUAGGUCGCAUUAGCUAGUUGGUGGGGUAAAGGCCUACCAAGGCGACGAUCCGUAACUGGGCUGAGAGGAUGAUCAGUCACACUGGAACUGAGACACGGUCCAGACUCCUACGGGAGGCAGCAGUGGGGAAUAUUGGACAAUGGGCGAAAGCCUGAUCCAGCCAUGCCGCGUGUGUGAAGAAGGUCUUCGGAUUGUAAAGCUCUGUAAGUUGGGAGGCGUUACCAACAGAAUAAGCAACGGCUAACUUCGUGCCAGCAGCCGCGGUAAUAC
rnacentral:rRNA from 1 species